rnacentral:rRNA from 1 species
GGGUUGUGAGGUUAAGCGACUAAGCGUACACGGUGGAUGCCCUGGCAGUCAGAGGCGAUGAAGGACGUGCUAAUCUGCGAUAAGCGUCGGUAAGGUGAUAUGAACCGUUAUAACCGGCGAUUUCCGAAUGGGGAAACCCAGUGUGUUUCGACACACUAUCAUUAACUGAAUCCAUAGGUUAAUGAGGCGAACCGGGGGAACUGAAACAUCUAAGUACCCCGAGGAAAAGAAAUCAACCGAGAUUCCCCCAGUAGCGGCGAGCGAACGGGGAGGAGCCCAGAGCCUGAAUCAGUGUGUGUGUUAGUGGAAGCGUCUGGAAAGGCGCGCGAUACAGGGUGACAGCCCCGUACACAAAAAUACACAUAUUGUGAGCUCGAUGAGUAGGGCGGGACACGUGGUAUCCUGUCUGAAUAUGGGGGGACCAUCCUCCAAGGCUAAAUACUCCUGACUGACCGAUAGUGAACCAGUACCGUGAGGGAAAGGCGAAAAGAACCCCGGCGAGGGGAGUGAAAAAGAACCUGAAACCGUGUACGUACAAGCAGUGGGAGCACGCUUAGGCGUGUGACUGCGUACCUUUUGUAUAAUGGGUCAGCGACUUAUAUUCUGUAGCAAGGUUAACCGAAUAGGGGAGCCGAAGGGAAACCGAGUCUUAACUGGGCGUUAAGUUGCAGGGUAUAGACCCGAAACCCGGUGAUCUAGCCAUGGGCAGGUUGAAGGUUGGGUAACACUAACUGGAGGACCGAACCGACUAAUGUUGAAAAAUUAGCGGAUGACUUGUGGCUGGGGGUGAAAGGCCAAUCAAACCGGGAGAUAGCUGGUUCUCCCCGAAAGCUAUUUAGGUAGCGCCUCGUGAAUUCAUCUCCGGGGGUAGAGCACUGUUUCGGCAAGGGGGUCAUCCCGACUUACCAACCCGAUGCAAACUGCGAAUACCGGAGAAUGUUAUCACGGGAGACACACGGCGGGUGCUAACGUCCGUCGUGAAGAGGGAAACAACCCAGACCGCCAGCUAAGGUCCCAAAGUCAUGGUUAAGUGGGAAACGAUGUGGGAAGGCCCAGACAGCCAGGAUGUUGGCUUAGAAGCAGCCAUCAUUUAAAGAAAGCGUAAUAGCUCACUGGUCGAGUCGGCCUGCGCGGAAGAUGUAACGGGGCUAAACCAUGCACCGAAGCUGCGGCAGCGACGCUUAUGCGUUGUUGGGUAGGGGAGCGUUCUGUAAGCCUGCGAAGGUGUGCUGUGAGGCAUGCUGGAGGUAUCAGAAGUGCGAAUGCUGACAUAAGUAACGAUAAAGCGGGUGAAAAGCCCGCUCGCCGGAAGACCAAGGGUUCCUGUCCAACGUUAAUCGGGGCAGGGUGAGUCGACCCCUAAGGCGAGGCCGAAAGGCGUAGUCGAUGGGAAACAGGUUAAUAUUCCUGUACUUGGUGUUACUGCGAAGGGGGGACGGAGAAGGCUAUGUUGGCCGGGCGACGGUUGUCCCGGUUUAAGCGUGUAGGCUGGUUUUCCAGGCAAAUCCGGAAAAUCAAGGCUGAGGCGUGAUGACGAGGCACUACGGUGCUGAAGCAACAAAUGCCCUGCUUCCAGGAAAAGCCUCUAAGCAUCAGGUAACAUCAAAUCGUACCCCAAACCGACACAGGUGGUCAGGUAGAGAAUACCAAGGCGCUUGAGAGAACUCGGGUGAAGGAACUAGGCAAAAUGGUGCCGUAACUUCGGGAGAAGGCACGCUGAUAUGUAGGUGAAGUCCCUUGCGGAUGGAGCUGAAAUCAGUCGAAGAUACCAGCUGGCUGCAACUGUUUAUUAAAAACACAGCACUGUGCAAACACGAAAGUGGACGUAUACGGUGUGACGCCUGCCCGGUGCCGGAAGGUUAAUUGAUGGGGUCAGCGCAAGCGAAGCUCUUGAUCGAAGCCCCGGUAAACGGCGGCCGUAACUAUAACGGUCCUAAGGUAGCGAAAUUCCUUGUCGGGUAAGUUCCGACCUGCACGAAUGGCGUAAUGAUGGCCAGGCUGUCUCCACCCGAGACUCAGUGAAAUUGAACUCGCUGUGAAGAUGCAGUGUACCCGCGGCAAGACGGAAAGACCCCGUGAACCUUUACUAUAGCUUGACACUGAACAUUGAGCCUUGAUGUGUAGGAUAGGUGGGAGGCUUUGAAGUGUGGACGCCAGUCUGCAUGGAGCCGGCCUUGAAAUACCACCCUUUAAUGUUUGAUGUUCUAACGUGGACCCGUGAUCCGGGUUGCGGACAGUGUCUGGUGGGUAGUUUGACUGGGGCGGUCUCCUCCUAAAGAGUAACGGAGGAGCACGAAGGUUGGCUAAUCCUGGUCGGACAUCAGGAGGUUAGUGCAAUGGCAUAAGCCAGCUUGACUGCGAGCGUGACGGCGCGAGCAGGUGCGAAAGCAGGUCAUAGUGAUCCGGUGGUUCUGAAUGGAAGGGCCAUCGCUCAACGGAUAAAAGGUACUCCGGGGAUAACAGGCUGAUACCGCCCAAGAGUUCAUAUCGACGGCGGUGUUUGGCACCUCGAUGUCGGCUCAUCACAUCCUGGGGCUGAAGUAGGUCCCAAGGGUAUGGCUGUUCGCCAUUUAAAGUGGUACGCGAGCUGGGUUUAGAACGUCGUGAGACAGUUCGGUCCCUAUCUGCCGUGGGCGCUGGAGAACUGAGGGGGGCUGCUCCUAGUACGAGAGGACCGGAGUGGACGCAUCACUGGUGUUCGGGUUGUCAUGCCAAUGGCACUGCCCGGUAGCUAAAUGCGGAAGAGAUAAGUGCUGAAAGCAUCUAAGCACGAAACUUGCCCCGAGAUGAGUUCUCCCUGACCCUUUAAGGGUCCUGAAGGAACGUUGAAGACGACGACGUUGAUAGGCCGGGUGUGUAAGCGCAGCGAUGCGUUGAGCUAACCGGUACUAAUGAACCGUGAGGCUUAACCUUACAACGCCGAAG